rnacentral:lncRNA from 1 species
AGACCAUCCUCAUUGCCUCUCAAGGCCCUAACCCAGGAAGCCCAGGGUAGGACCUGUGCCAGGUGGGCACUAGGGUGGGGAGCAGAUAAUCGGAGACUCACUGCCUCACGUGCCUCACCAUCACCAAGGCAACAAGCUCUCCCCUGCUGUUGCCAGGGAAACCAUCUGAACUCUCUCUUUCUCUCACCUUCACCAUGGAGACAGCCAACUGGAAAGGCGCUCCUGGAGGUGGAGGAGGUACCGCAGAGGGAGACGUGCCUCCAGUCCUUUGUGGCUCAGGACGCAGCAUCCAGUAGGAACCCAAGGCCUGGAAAUUCCCGCUCGUUGAGGAAUGUGGGAGACAUUCCUGGAGUUACACGGAAAUACAAUGCAAAGCCAGGAUGUCCCUGGGGAUGGAGAGAUGGCAGCCGAGACGUCCUACCCCAGGGAAGAGAUGCCACUGGUGAAGGUCCUGAGUGGAAACGUCCAGGAAAUCACAAAAUUGCAAAGGAAAUGAUGAAGCCCCACUGUACAGACUUGCCUUUGGAGGAUUGCACAAUCCCAUCAUUCUUGAGCAAAAAUCUCCUCCUGCCCUUUGAUGCAGGGGAGAGAGAGCCCUAUUUCCAAGACCCAACACAGCGGAAACCAAGAUGAGUAGCUGCCCCUUCCUUUCUGACUAUAGUGGGUUGGAUAGGGAAUGUGACUUAUUUCCAUUUUUAAGGGUUGGCCUGAGGGCCUGGAGUCUGAGAGUAAGCAGUCUUUUUAAUCUGCAAGAAGGACCAGCUUCAUGAAAGCAGGAUUGCCAUUGUGAAACUAGAUGCAAGAUUUGAGAAUUAAUUCUGACCUAGUGAUACAGUCAUAAAUAAACUAUUAAUAGCAUGACUUCCA